GGAUAGCUCAGUCGGGUAGAGCAGCCGCUUCGGCGGUCGGCCGCAGGUUCGACUCCUGCUCCA
rnacentral:tRNA from 2 species